AUACGGAGGGUGCGAGCGUUGUCCGGAAUCACUGGGCGUAAAGAGUACGUAGGCGGUUUUUUAAGUCACCUGUGAAAUUUCGGGGCUCAACCCCGAACCUGCAGGUGAGACUGGAAGACUUGAGCAUGGUAGGGGCAAGUGGAAUUCCCGGUGUAGCGGUGGAAUGCGUAGAUAUCGGGAAGAACAUCGGUGGCGAAGGCGACUUGCUGGGCCAUAUGCUGACGCUGAGGUACGAAAGCGUGGGGAGCAAACAGGAUUAGAUACCCCGGUAGUCC
rnacentral:rRNA from 1 species